rnacentral:rRNA from 1 species
UACGUAGGGGGCAAGCGUUGUCCGGACUUACUGGGCGUAAAGCGCGCGCAGGCGGAUGGGUAUGUGCCGUGUGAAAGCGCCGUCCUUACGAUGGCGAGGUCAUGGUAGACAGCCCGUCUGGAGGCUCGAAGAGGUCGGUGGAAUUCCGGGUGGAGCGGUGAAAUGCGUAGAGAUCAGGCGGAACACCCGUGGCGAAGGCGGCCAGCUGGGCCGUCCCUGACGCUGAGGCGCGAAGGCGUGGGGAGCGAACGGG